GCUCUCCCAAGGGUGGCAUGAUUUCCAACAGGUAAGACAUUUGUUCAUAUUCUUGGCAUGGUUGUAUCCUCUUUUUCCAGAUUUUGUUGUUAGGGGUUGUUCCCCAAGAAGAGCUUUUGUUGGGGUUGUUCCCCAAGCAGAGUGUUGGUUAUAGACUUCACAGUCCUCUCCAACAGUAUUCUCUCCUCAGCAUGGGUGCUUUCCUUUGGAAGAUUCAGUGGUGGAUGGGUUAACGUCCCGGUACUUUAC
rnacentral:lncRNA from 1 species